rnacentral:rRNA from 1 species
AUACGGAGGGUGCAAGCGUUACUCGGAAUCACGGGGCGUAAAGCGCGCGCAGGCGGGCUGAUAAGUUGGAUGUGAAAGCCUACGGCUCAACCGUAGAACUGCAUCCAAAACUGUCAGUCUAGAGUGUGGGAGAGGAAGAUGGAAUUAGUUGUGUAGGGGUAAAAUCCGUAGAGAUAACUAGGAAUACCAAAAGCGAAGGCGAUCUUCUGGAACAGUACUGACGCUGAGGCGCGAAAGCGUGGGGAGCAAACAGGAUUAGAAACCCGAGUAGUCC